UACGAAGGGGGCGAGCGUUGUUCGGAUUUACUGGGCGUAAAGGGCGCGCAGGCGGCGAGUUUUGUCAGGCGUGAAAGCCCCGGGCUCAACCUGGGAAUUGCGCUUGAAACGGGCUUGCUAGAGAUCGGGAGAGGAGAGUGGAAUUCCCAGUGUAGAGGUGAAAUUCGUAGAUAUUCGGAAGAACACCAGUGGCGAAGGCGACUGACUGGACAAGUAUUGACGCUGAGGUGCGAAAGCGUGGGGAGCAAACAGG
rnacentral:rRNA from 1 species